GGCUAUGGCCAUGCCACCCUGAACAAGCCCAGUGUCUGAUCUCGGAAGCUAAGCAGGGUCAGGCCUGGUUAGUACUUGGAUGGGAGACCACCCAGGAAGACCAGGUGCUGUAGGCA
rnacentral:rRNA from 1 species